GCAGUCGAACGCGUUGGCCCAAUUGAUUGAUGGUGCUUGCACCUGAUUGAUUUUGGUCGCCAACGAGUGGCGGACGGGUGAGUAACACGUAGGUAACCUGCCCAGAAGCGGGGGACAACAUUUGGAAACAGAUGCUAAUACCGCAUAACAGCGUUGUUCGCAUGAACAACGCUUAAAAGAUGGCUUCUCGCUAUCACUUCUGGAUGGACCUGCGGUGCAUUAGCUUGUUGGUGGGGUAACGGCCUACCAAGGCGAUGAUGCAUAGCCGAGUUGAGAGACUGAUCGGCCACAAUGGGACUGAGACACGGCCCAUACUCCUACGGGAGGCAGCAGUAGGGAAUCUUCCACAAUGGGCGCAAGCCUGAUGGAGCAACACCGCGUGAGUGAAGAAGGGUUUCGGCUCGUAAAGCUCUGUUGUUAAAGAAGAACACGUAUGAGAGUAACUGUUCAUACGUUGACGGUAUUUAACCAGAAAGUCACGGCUAACUACGUGCCAGCAGCCGCGGUAAUACGUAGGUGGCAAGCGUUAUCCGGAUUUAUUGGGCGUAAAGAGAGUGCAGGCGGUUUUCUAAGUCUGAUGUGAAAGCCUUCGGCUUAACCGGAGAAGUGCAUCGGAAACUGGAUAACUUGAGUGCAGAAGAGGGUAGUGGAACUCCAUGUGUAGCGGUGGAAUGCGUAGAUAUAUGGAAGAACACCAGUGGCGAAGGCGGCUACCUGGUCUGCAACUGACGCUGAGACUCGAAAGCAUGGGUAGCGAACAGGAUUAGAUACCCUGGUAGUCCAUGCCGUAAACGAUGAGUGCUAGGUGUUGGAGGGUUUCCGCCCUUCAGUGCCGGAGCUAACGCAUUAAGCACUCCGCCUGGGGAGUACGACCGCAAGGUUGAAACUCAAAGGAAUUGACGGGGGCCCGCACAAGCGGUGGAGCAUGUGGUUUAAUUCGAAGCUACGCGAAGAACCUUACCAGGUCUUGACAUCUUGCGCCAACCCUAGAGAUAGGGCGUUUCCUUCGGGAACGCAAUGACAGGUGGUGCAUGGUCGUCGUCAGCUCGUGUCGUGAGAUGUUGGGUUAAGUCCCGCAACGAGCGCAACCCUUGUUACUAGUUGCCAGCAUUAAGUUGGGCACUCUAGUGAGACUGCCGGUGACAAACCGGAGGAAGGUGGGGACGACGUCAGAUCAUCAUGCCCCUUAUGACCUGGGCUACACACGUGCUACAAUGGACGGUACAACGAGUCGCGAACUCGCGAGGGCAAGCAAAUCUCUUAAAACCGUUCUCAGUUCGGACUGCAGGCUGCAACUCGCCUGCACGAAGUCGGAAUCGCUAGUAAUCGCGGAUCAGCAUGCCGCGGUGAAUACGUUCCCGGGCCUUGUACACACCGCCCGUCACACCAUGAGAGUUUGUAACACCCAAAGUCGGUGGGGUAAC
rnacentral:rRNA from 1 species